rnacentral:rRNA from 1 species
GACGAACGCUGGCGGCGUGCUUAACACAUGCCAGUCGAACGGAAAGGCCCUGCUUUUGUGGGGUGCUCGAGUGGCGAACGGGUGAGUAACACGUGAGUAACCUGCCCUUGACUUUGGGAUAACUUCAGGAAACUGGGGCUAAAACCGGAUAGGAGCUCCUGCUGCAUGGUGGGGGUUGGAAAGUUUCGGCGGUUGGGGAUGGACUCGCGGCUUAUCAGCUUGUUGGUGGGGUAGUGGCUUACCAAGGCUUUGACGGGUAGCCGGCCUGAGAGGGUGACCGGCCACAUUGGGACUGAGCUACGGCCCAGACUCCUACGGGAGGCAGCAGUGGGGAAUAUUGCACAAUGGGCGGAAGCCUGAUGCAGCAACGCCGCGUGCGGGAUGACGGCCUUCGGGUUGUAAACCGCUUUCGCCUGUGACGAAGCGUGAGUGACGGUAAUGGGUAAAGAAGCACCGGCUAACUACGUG